ACUGGGACUGAGACACGGCCCAGACUCCUACGGGAGGCAGCAGUGGGGAAUUUUGGACAAUGGGCGCAAGCCUGAUCCAGCCAUGCCGCGUGUCUGAAGAAGGCCUUCGGGUUGUAAAGGACUUUUGUCAGGGAAGAAAAGGCUGUUGCUAAUAUCGACAGCUGAUGACGGUACCUGAAGAAUAAGCACCGGCUAACUACGUGCCAGCAGCCGCGGUAAUACGUAGGGUGCGAGCGUUAAUCGGAAUUACUGGGCGUAAAGCGAGCGCAGACGGUUACUUAAGCAGGAUGUGAAAUCCCCGGGCUCAACCUGGGAACUGCGUUCUGAACUGGGUGACUAGAGUGUGUCAGAGGGAGGUAGAAUUCCACGUGUAGCAGUGAAAUGCGUAGAGAUGUGGAGGAAUACCGAUGGCGAAGGCAGCCUCCUGGGAUAACACUGACGUUCAUGCUCGAAAGCGUGGGUAGCAAACAGGAUUAGAUACCCUGGUAGUCCACGCCCUAAACGAUGUCAAUUAGCUGUUGGGCAACUUGAUUGCUUAGUAGCGUAGCUAACGCGUGAAAUUGACCGCCUGGGGAGUACGGUCGCAAGAUUAAAACUCAAAGGAAUUGACGGGGACCCGCACAAGCGGUGGAUGAUGUGGAUUAAUUCGAUGCAACGCGAAGAACCUUACCUGGUCUUGACAUGUACGGAAUCCUCCAGAGAGGGAGGAGUGCCUUCGGGAGCCGUAACACAGGUGCUGCAUGGCUGUCGUCAGCUCGUGUCGUGAGAUGUUGGGUUAAGUCCCGCAACGAGCGCAACCCUUGUCAUUAGUUGCCAUCAUUAAGUUGGGCACUCUAAUGAGACUGCCGGUGACAAGCCGGAGGAAGGUGGGGAUGACGUCAAGUCCUCAUGGCCCUUAUGACCAGGGCUUCACACGUCAUACAAUGGUCGGUACAGAGGGUAGCCAAGCCGCGAGGUGGAGCCAAUCUCACAAAACCGAUCGUAGUCCGGAUUGCACUCUGCAACUCGAGUGCAUGAAGUCGGAAUCGCUAGUAAUCGCAGGUCAGCAUACUGCGGUGAAUACGUUCCCGGGUCUUGUACACACCGCCCGUCACACCAUGGGAGUGGGGGAUACCAGAAGUAGGUAGGGUAACCGCAAGGAGCCCGCUUACCACGGUAUGCUUCAUGACUGGGGUGAAGUCGUAACAAGGUAGCCGUAGGGGAACCUGCGGCUG
rnacentral:rRNA from 1 species